rnacentral:sRNA from 1 species
GUCAACUACCCGCGACUAAAGUCGUAGGCUUGUAGAGCUACAAGUCUGGUUGAUUAGCCUGAGUGCCUCGUGCACUACGUUACCGUGAGCUGCGUCCGGAUGCUCCACAAGUCCGGACC